rnacentral:lncRNA from 1 species
UGCAAGAGAGAAGAGAGACCGGAAAAGGGAUGAAGGAAAAGAUAAUAAAAAUGUGAAAUGGGAUUGUAGAGAGAGAAAGAUGAUUAGAAGGUGAUUUGAGAGAGGAAGAAGAAGGAAGGAUGAAGGUUUGAGAGGGAGAGGGUUUGAUGGAAAAGUGUAGUUCAUAACAUGUUACCAAUACCCAUGCUUUCUUGUUCCAAUGUUGAAGACGGUGGAAUGCUUUGUUGGAAAUAUGCCGGUAAUUAAUG